AUAGAAAAAUUACAACUUUUGUGAAUCAUAAAAAAUAAGAACAGCAUUGUGCAAUAUUAAUGUCAGAUACGUCUGAGGUGUCAAUUCACGUAAUUUCUAUAUUAUCAUAAUAAAAGGAAAAAAAAGAGAAAAAGCGACAAAUUUUACAAAGAAGCAACAAAGAUAACCAGGCAAACUGACACGACUCGAGGCACGUUCUAGUUGAGGCAUAGAUUUAUUGUCGAUAGAGGUUCGAUAACUGCUCGUGCAUUACUCCGCCCAUCUUAGCAUCAGCCGAACGGCAGAACUGCAUUGAACGAUCCGUAGGAUCGAGCAACACCCUAACCUGCAACAUAAUCUAAUGGGAAAUGGUUAAUAUUAUGCCUGGGCUCUCACGUUGUUUCUUCUUUGGAUCGUCAAGGCCUGAGGCAGCGGAACUACGGCUGCUCUACGUCUCCUCUACCAGUGUAUCACAGUGCUAGAACAUUAAACCCGUCAUAAUAUCUAUGAAUACAGAAUGAUACAAAAUUUCUAUCUGUGAACGCAUCCCUCGCGAAUUAGCCGUCGGCUAGUAGAAUACCAGGUUGAAUUUUACAAGAUAACAUGACUUAUCGGGAAGCAGCCAUUGGAUACGCUACCAAAGAGAGAAUCUGUGUCAGAGUAUACAUAGAUGCACCGAAUCUACCCUGGACCCGUAGGUUAUGUGUAUGGCGAGAAGAUGAGAAACGUCGCGGGAGGUCUCGUCUUUACAUCUGCAGGAUUGAUGGACAUUCACUCACAGGCAUAACGAACGGUGUGGAGUCUCCUUUAAGUCAGCGUGCGCCUUGUACCGACCGAGAGACGAGCUGGUAAUCACUGGUCGUUAGCGCCUCAUUCACAUUGGAACGUCCCUCACGUCACAGCAGUGCUUUACUUUACCGAAUAUUGACCGACGGUUCGAUAUUAUUCGUCAGAUUCUUGUUAGUGUUUAAAAAUCAGAACUGGUUCGGUGUAUGAAAAUUACGCAAGUAACACCAUAAAAUGGAUUCACUCAGCCUCCAUCAUUGCAGAGUUAAGAGCCUUCGGUUCUCAACACCUCAUCACUGAGAUAAGUGUUGAUGAUCUUUCAAACUGGUUGGCUCAUUAGUAUGUGAAGGGUGCUGCCACCUACUGGGCGGAGCAGCAGGUCAUUGAAACAAUAGUGUUGUGACUCCAGCUCAUCAACCUCAUCUCUACAAGGGAACCGAUUACCCGAUUGAUUCCUAUGAUUGAUCGUUUUUCCAUUUUUAAAAUUCCCGCCUAAAUCUUACACGUAAACCAACCACCUGCCUUUUUCUUACUAGAUCGAAUAGUGGUUUUUAAAAAGGAACGAGAAUAAUCUAAAUACUUUUUUUUCACUCUGUUCUGGAUGUAAUUUAACACGGUAGUAGAUAUUCUCGAAAGCCUACAACAAUGAAAACCCGUUACCAUCUUCUUGCAAGUUUCUUAGUGCCUAUCAACCUGUCCAUAUCGAAUACCGAUGAAGAUGUUUUUUCAGUGCGAGGGGGCGGAACGAUUUUAUUCGAAUAUCACGUGGUACCGAUCGCACAGGUAAACCAAAGGUAGUUCCAGCUUGUGUAGAGUAGAGCUAGUCGUGGUCCCAGAAGGGACUGGUACAAGUCAUAUAUUAGAGGACUGUUGGGGACACCUAACAAGCUGCCAAGACACGUUUCCCGGAAUCAGCAGCCAGGAGAAUCGAAGCAACCCUCAUCGAGCUGCAGGACUCAGCUGCUA